rnacentral:rRNA from 1 species
UGAAGAAGCGGGGAUACUCCUAUAAGACGAAAAGACCCCAUGGAGCUUCAAACCCAACUACACCCUUAACUACCACAACCGCACAACCUCUUAGGGCCCUGUAUAGUUGGUUUUAGGUUGGGGCGACCACGGAGUACAACCAAACCUCCGCAAUGGACGGGACCACUCCCUUAUCUAAGAGCCACACCUCUAAGAAUUAAAACACUAACAUAAAAUGAUCCAUGAUCUGAUCAAUGAACCAAGUUACCCUGGGGAUAACAGCGCAAUCCAUUUCAAGAGCCCUUAUCGACAAGUGGGUUUACGACCUCGAUGUUGGAUCAGGGUAUCCUAGUGGUGCAGCAGCUACUAAUGGUUCGUUUGUUCAACGAUUAAAACCCU